UAUGGGUAGCCUUCUCCGCCUGUGUCCGGUCUGUUUCACUUGCCUUUCUUCCGUUCCGGGCACAACUGGCAUGAUUCGCAAGGUGCUGCAGUUGGUAGUGCAUCGGCUCUAAGAUCGAUCAAUUGUUGCCAUCUUCUAAUCCUGCUAUUUGUGGUUAUUCUCUGAUCAAUUUCGUGCCUAUUUCUCGGAUAGUACUUUGUGCUUUUCCUGACGUCAAAGCUUGGAGGCAGGAAAACUUGCACUAGCUAGAAUCGGCAAGGCGUUCUUUCGUAGUUUCAAGAAUCAUUGGCUCGAUAAGGCAUAUUGGGAAAGUAAGGAUGCAUUCCUUGGUAAAAGAUGUAUCACGCGGAGGCUACCAAUGGAAAUGGUGCAUGUUCUGCGCACCUGGAAAUCUAGAGAUGAGGACACACCGCAUCACUUAUGCGAGAUGGAUUUUAUUGCCAGCAACCGUGAGUUAAUAUAAAAGUCUGGCCACCAUUUCAGGGGAACACGGUAGAAGGGGAUGUGUACCAGCCAACUGCGUCGAUCAAUUCAGAGACUAAUUGAAGGAAGGCUUGAUCUACACUUUGAGAUGUUCAUUUUUGCAGGAGCAUGGAAAAAGUGCAGAACGGCAAUCCAUCCGUACAUAAUCAACUUUGCUCCAUGCACAAUGAUUCAGGAAGUUACUCCUCAACCUAAGUAUUUACCUAUGUUUGCAUAUAAGGCAUAUCCAUUUGAUGUUCUGGAAGCAUGUAUAGCAGAUGCAUACUAUAAGGUUUCCUUUACUCUGCACUACAGAUGUCAUCGGGGUUUUUGUGCGUCAGAAUCAUAAGAAGAACCUGUAAUAAAAGUUAUAUCAAACUAGCAAAGCAUUUGUGUAUGUUUUUCUUCGCCUCUAUAGCUGACCUCUUCUAGCACAGUUGAAGUGAUUUUGCUUUGAUGUGAAAAAAAUGUGACGUAUAUACCUCGAAUUGUAGCAUAACUAUUACAUUUUGCACAAUAGAGUAGAACUAUAUUGGUUGCUAGAGUAACAGAAAUUUUGGUGUGCCGAUAUAGUGCAGGAGUCCUGGUACAUCAAUGUACAUCAAUAUUUUACUUUUCCUGGUUGCUUCAGUUCUUCUUUUUCAUUUCAUAUGACUCUUUAAGCAAGUCAAAACUAGAUGCAGAUUAUGUAAGCACAUGAUACGAUGUUGACCAGUGUAUAUACACUUUUACAAUCAGAUACAAUUCAAUCAACAAAUUUCGGUCCAUUUGCCAUAAAAUAAUCCCAGACCGUGGGGAACAUGUUGUGCAGUCCAAUAAGGUUACUUCUAUCAUCAGAACUUUCUCAGAGCAUCUACUUCUGUCAGGUUUCUCAUGUCUGACAUGCAUCCUGGUAAACUCCACUUCACGGAAUUUUUUGAAGCUAGCAUUCUGUUGCCAACUAUGACUUCCUUUGUUGAAGACUAACUUCUGUAAGUAUUAAUAAUUUAAUACGGAUUAUAUGUUUUCAGUUGUGUAUCAUUUUAUCUAUUAUGUGAUAGAAAUCUCCAUUUUAAAAUGGGGUAUUUGUAUCAUUGUAUAUUCCAAGGAGACAUAUGUGAUAUGCAUAGGUGGAAAUACAUUAAGAAAUCUCAAAUAGAAAUUAUAACUCAGUGUACAAAUUGUACUGUGUGAAAAUAUAGAGAGGGCACUCAAACUGACCAGAAUGAUUUCAAGUUGUGUUUGUGUAAAUUUAUGUUAGAAUAGCUCAUAAUGAAUUUAUAUUCAAUUAUAGAUGCAUCAGCUUUCCAUUGCUUCGCUGAAUACUAAUGAUUAAGUGGUGUUGGUCGUUUACGCAUAAUGGAUAUCUGAAAAUGCAAGUACCUUGCUUAUAUUGGUUAAUGAGAGAUGUGAUAGUGCGACUUGCACGAAACAGAAAUUUUGUUAGAUCAGUAGCUUGGAUAAUAUUUUCAUGACAAUAUUAUCAAACCAACUGGUAUGCUUAGAAAUGCAGAGAAAAUAGUACCAUUACAAGAACAUAACAAGGAGGAUGGUGGACAUCACAACUAUGGAACUACAAAUCUGCUAUAAUGUAUCUGUUGGUAAAAGAGGUGUCACUCAUUGUUCCUGAGAGGUAUAUUAACAGGCUCUGGCAUGGUUAUGUACUUGUUAGUAAAUGGAAGAAAGCAAAUUCUCCAAGAAGUUGCUAUGCAUGUACUUCCAGUAUAUCCAGCUGAUUAUUAAAUGUUUGAUGCUUAUAUUGUCUGUGUGAGUUUGCUGUCUAUUCUGGUUUACACUGGAGCUUUUUCUGAUGACAAUCAACACUUCCAGUAUAUCCAGCUGAUUAUUAAAUAUUUGAUGCCAAAUGUACACUAUAUACGCUAUGCACUUAGUUAAUUAAAGCCCCUUUCCUGCUCCAUCAUCACUUUCAGGUUCUGUUUUUUUGCAGACAAGAUCAGAUGGCCCAGCUUAUCUCCCUGAUGUAUAGCGCCUUCGCUAGAGCUAUGAGCUUAUUCGCCAUUUAGCUUUAUAGUUGGUUCUGAAACACACUUACACCUGGUAGUCUGUGCUGAAUCGUUUCGUGUUAUGCGUCGUGCCAUAUAAUCAGUCUUAACUGAAUGGUUUGUUUGGCCACUAUGCUUAUUUCAGUGAAAUGUUUCAUGGUAAUUA